GCUUGUCUCAAAGAUUAAGCCAUGCAUGUCUAAGUAUAAAUAACUCUAUACUGUGAAACUGCGAAUGGCUCAUUAUAUCAGUUAUAGUUUAUUUGAUAGUCCCUUACUACUUGGAUAACCGUAGUAACUCUAGAGCUAAUACAUGCGUCGAAUCCCGACUGGGGGCGCGGCGCGGGGGCAACUCCACGUCGCACUCCGGAAAGGAUGUAUUUAUUAGAUCCAACCAACCCGGCCUCGGCCGGAACCUGGUGAAUCAUGAUAACUGUGCGAAUCGCAUGGCCUCCGUGCCGGCGAUGGUUCAUUCAAGUUUCUGCCCUAUCAGCUUUCGAUGGUAGGGUAUUGGCCUACCAUGGCAUUGACGGGUAACGGAGAAUUAGGGUUCGAUUCCGGAGAGGGAGCCUGAGAAACGGCUACCACAUCCAAGGAAGGCAGCAGG
rnacentral:rRNA from 1 species